CAGCAGCCGCGGUAAUACGGAGGGUGCAAGCGUUAAUCGGAAUUACUGGGCGUAAAGCGCACGCAGGCGGUUUGUUAAGUCAGAUGUGAAAUCCCCGAGCUUAACUUGGGAACUGCAUUUGAAACUGGCAAGCUAGAGUCUUGUAGAGGGGGGUAGAAUUCCAGGUGUAGCGGUGAAAUGCGUAGAGAUCUGGAGGAAUACCGGUGGCGAAGGCGGCCCCCUGGACAAAGACUGACGCUCAGGUGCGAAAGCGUGGGGAGCAAACAGGAUUAGAUACCCCUGUAGUCCCUGUCUCUUAUAC
rnacentral:rRNA from 1 species